GGACAGGUGGGUGAGCUGGCUGAAACCACCUCCCUGCUAAGGAGGCGUGUCCGUAAGGGCACCGCGGGUUCGAAUCCCGCCCUGUCCGCCA
rnacentral:tRNA from 1 species